UACGUAGGGGGCUAGCGUUGUCCGGAAUCAUUGGGCGUAAAGCGCGCGUAGGCGGUCAGGAAAGUCCGGUGUGAAAGUCAUAGGCUCAACCUAUGGAUGCCGCUGGAAACUGCCUGACUUGAGUCCGGAAGGGGCGAGUGGAAUUCCUGGUGUAGCGGUGAAAUGCGCAGAUAUCAGGAGGAACACCAAUUGCGAAGGCAGCUCGCUGGGACGUUACUGACGCUGAGACGCGAAAGCGUGGGGAGCGAACAGG
rnacentral:rRNA from 1 species